ACGAACGCUGGCGGCGUGCUUCACCCAUGCCAGUCGAACGGUGAAGGGAUCAGCUUGCUGGUUCUGGAUGAGUGGCGAACGGGUGAGUAACACGUGAGUAACCUGCCCCCUUCUUCUGGAUAACCGCAUGAAAGUGUGGCUAAUACGGGAUAUUCUGCGCCUGCUGCAUGGUGGGUGUGGGAAAGAUAUUGUUUCGGUGGGGGAUGGGCUCGCGGCCUAUCAGCUUGUUGGUGGGGUGAUGGCCUACCAAGGCGGUGACGGGUAGCCGGCCUGAGAGGGUGGACGGUCACACUGGGACUGAGACACGGCCCAGACUCCUACGGGAGGCAGCAGUGGGGAAUAUUGCACAAUGGGCGCAAGCCUGAUGCAGCGACGCCGCGUGAGGGAUGGAGGCCUUCGGGUUGUGAACCUCUUUCGCCAGUGAAGCAGGCCUGUCCCUUGUGGGUGGGUUGACGGUAGCUGGAGAAGAAGCGCCGGCUAACUACGUG
rnacentral:rRNA from 1 species